rnacentral:rRNA from 1 species
AGUGAUCGCUGGCGGUAGGCCUAACGCAUGCAAGUCGAACGGCAGCACAGUAAGAGCUUGCUCUUACGGGUGGCGAGUGGCGGACGGGUGAGGAAUACAUCGGAAUCUACUUUUUCGUGGGGGAUAACGUAGGGAAACUUACGCUAAUACCGCAUACGACCUACGGGUGAAAGCAGGGGAUCUUCGGACCUUGCGCGAUUGAAUGAGCCGAUGUCGGAUUAGCUAGUUGGCGGGGUAAAGGCCCACCAAGGCGACGAUCCGUAGCUGGUCUGAGAGGAUGAUCAGCCACACUGGAACUGAGACACGGUCCAGACUCCUACGGGAGGCAGCAGUGGGGAAUAUUGGACAAUGGGCGCAAGCCUGAUCCAGCCAUACCGCGUGGGUGAAGAAGGCCUUCGGGUUGUAAAGCCCUUUUGUUGGGAAAGAAAAGCAGCAGGUUAAUACCCCGCUGUUCUGACGGUACCCAAAGAAUAAGCACCGGCUAACUUCGUG